UGCACCAAGUGAAGCACCAGGUAUAUUGAUGAAGCCACCCCCAGGGUUAACAGCAGAAAACAUCACUGCUUUCAGUCCUGCUUCUAGUGAAAAUAAAACGGAAAUGGGAAAACCCCAAGCAGGCGCUGCAAACAAGAUUGCUAUUACUGGAUCAUUCUCUAGCCUACUU